rnacentral:miRNA from 2 species
CCUAUUCAUGAUUACUUGCACU